AACGUAGGUGGCGAGCGUUAUCCGGAUUUACUGGGCGUAAAGGGUGUGCAGGCGGGCUGUUAAGUGGUGUAUGAAAUAUCCCGGCUCAACCGGGAGAGGUUAUGCCAGACUGGCAGUCUAGAGAGCGAGAGAGGGACGUGGAAUUCCGGGUGUAGUGGCGAAAUGCGUAGAGAUCCGGAGGAACCCCAGAGGCGAAGGCGGCGUCCUGGCUCGCAUCUGACGCUCAGACACGACAGCAUGGGGAGCGAACGGG
rnacentral:rRNA from 1 species